AUGGAGCUCAUCACCACCGCCUGGUCAUCCUUUCCCCUGCUCAUCGCGCUCUCCCCCGCCCUCGCCGCCUCGGCCCUCUACUUGCUGCACGGCCGUCACGGGGGGCCGAAGAAGGGGACAGGCAAGGCUCUCCCUCCCGGCCCGCCGGGGCUGCUCUUCCUGGCCAGGUUCCUGGCGCUCCGGCGAUCCGUCUUCCACCUCGGCCCGAUCCUCCGCGACCUGCACGCGCGCUACGGCCCCGUCGUCUCCGUCCGCCUCUCCCGCACGCUCGUCUUCGUCGCCGACCGCCGCCUCGCGCACCGCGUGCUCGUCCAGGGCGGCGCCACCUUCGCCGACCGCCCGCCGCUCUCCGACCCCGGGCUGCUCUUCACCUCCGGCGCCCGCGACAUCAGCACCUCGCCCUACGGCGCCUACUGGCGCAUGGUCCGCCGCAACCUCGCCGCCGAGGCCCUGCACCCGGCCCGCGUCGCGCUCUACGCGCCGGCGAGGCGGCGCGCGCGGGACUCGCUCGUCCGCGACCUCCUCCGCGCGCGCGGCGCUGGCGAUGACGUCGCGGUGAGGCCGGCGUUCCGGCGCGCCAUGUUCGAGCUGCUCGAGGAGGUCCAGGAGCUGCAGCUGCGGAUCCUGCGCUCCAUCACCAGCUUCCCCAUCUUCUCCUUCUUCCCGGUGCUCACCAAGCGGCUCUUCCGGCGGCGGUGGGACGGGUACGUGGCCGUGCGCCGCAGGCAGGACGAGAUCUUCCUCCCGCUGAUCCGCGCCAGACGAGAGCGGGACGCUGACGGCCCUCCGUGCUACGCCGACUCCCUCCUCGCGCUGCGCGUGGCCGAGGAGGGCGGCCGCCCGCUCACGGACGCCGAGGCGGUCUGCCUCUGCUCCGAGUUUUUGAACGGCGGCACCGACACAACGGUCACCUCACUAGAGUGGAUCAUGGCGGAGCUGGUGAAUCGCCCCGACAUACAAUCCAAGGUCUACGAGGAAUUCAAAGACAAGACAGAGGUCGACGACGGGGACCUGCAGUCGACGCUGUACCUAAAGGCCGUGGUGCUCGAGGGGCUCCGGCUGCAUCCGCCGGGCCACUUCCUCCUCCCGCACGGCGUGCAGAGCGACGGCGCGGAGGUCGGGGGGCACGCGGUGCCCAAAGGCGCGGAGGUCAACUUCCUGGUCGCCGACUUCGGGCGCGACGAGGCGGCGUGGACGGCAGCGAAUGAGUUUCGACCGGAGCGGUUCUUGGAGGGCGGAGAGGGGUACGGCGUGGACCUCACGGGGAGCAGGGAGAUCAAGAUGAUGCCUUUUGGUGCUGGCCGCAGGAUGUGCCCGGGAUACACGCUUGGCAUGCUGCACGUGGAGUACUUCGUCGGCAGCCUCGUGAGGGAGCUGGAGUGGCUUCCGGCGGUGGAGGGGCAGGAGGUGGACAUGACCGAGGAACUGGAUUUCACCACCGUGAUGAAGCAUCCGCUCCGUGCUCGCGUUGUCCCGAGGCCUUGA
rnacentral:rRNA from 1 species